rnacentral:rRNA from 1 species
GACAGAGGAGCCAAGCGUUGUCCGGAGUAACUGGGCGUAAAGCGCACGCAGGUGGUCGGGGUGCGUGGGGUGUGAAAGCUCUGGGCUUAACUCAGAGAGGCCACCUCAUACGGCCUGGCUCCGAGCCCUGCAGAGGUCCACGAAUUGCCGGUGUAGUGGUGAAAUGCGUAGAGAUCGGCAGGAACACCCAGGGGGAAACCAGUGGACUGGGCAGGCGCUGACACUCAUG